GUGAGGUCCUGGAGGUGUAGGACCCCAGCACUGACGUCCCUGCGACCUGCGUCGCUCCUCGUGUAGAAUCACCAAGCACGCAGUUACCCCAUUUCACGGAGGAAGAGACUGAGGCCCCGAGCUUUGCCCAAGCUAACGCAGCCAGGACGGGAAGGAGAAGGGUUUGGGGAGGGGGAUUCCAAAGCGGGUCAGAUGGCUCCAGGGCCGGUUUCUUUCUUCUUUCUCUUCCUACGUUUCCUUUGGGUACUGGUUGUCCAGCAGCGCUCGGAGGAUUUGACACUGGCCCGGCAUAAAUAGCACCGAGCGCUAAUAAUUGGGCUUUGUUUUAAAAUGGGCCACCGCAUCUUUCUAAACCUCUCAAUUACGCGCGGUGUGACCUAGGCCCAGCCCGUGGGCGAGGAGCGGACUACGUGGCCGGGGCUCGGGGACACAGAGGACAAAUGCGUGGGAGCGCGUGGGGGCUCGUAGCUGAGCCCGGGGGUGCGGGAACCUGGGGGCCCCAGCGACCCAAACCCCGCGGACUGCGCGAGCGUCCCGGCCGGGCGGCGCCGGCGGCAGGGAGGAGGGCUGGGCCGGCGGGCGCUCGGCACAAAGUGUUCCCGAACACCGCGGGGAGGCCCUGCCAAGUUCUCGGCGGGCCUGACGCGGAAACGUAGAUAAUGAGGCCCAAGGGCGGGACCAGGCGCACUGCCCCAGCCGGCUCCCAACGGCACUGCCAGCGCCGCACAGUGCGGCGGCCGGGAGGCUUGGGGACAGGAAAACCCGGACGCGCCGAUCUACCUGUGGGAGAUGCGCCGCAAGGAUCCAGGAGGGCUGGAUCGCUUGGAACCCCACAGUGCGGCAGCAGGCGCUCCGUCGAAGGAACUGAGCCAAGCCUGUACUGGAGGCUGUGUUUUGUGCUGCGUGCUCAGACUCCAGCCCUGCACCUCACCUCUGUCUCCUACGCCAUCAAGGUAAAGUUCUGGCCUUUCAGCGAAGACAGGCGGCAGCCAUUCUCAGAAGACACAAGUCACCGUUUGUCAGCCUCAAAGAAACCAACCUUUCAGCCCAUGAGAGUGAAGCCAAAUGUUGUCCAGAGCUAAAAAGGCUUAUUUUUAGAAAGCAACAAACGGUGGUUUGUUUAUAGAGCUGGCACCAAAGAGCGACAUCAAAAGCAAAGAGCCUGCUCACUGAGGACUGAAGGCUCGGGAGGCACUAGGAAGGUUGUGUGGGGGAUGUUGGCCCUGAAGGCUAUGGAAGGAGGACUUUAAGAAUAUGCCGACUGAUGUCUGUAUGGCAGUCCGUCCAAGGUCAAAGGCAUCAACAGCAAUAGUGUCCACUCUGCCACACGCAGAAGCAUUUGACCUCCCUGCCCUCAGUUUCCGCACAUGCAAAAUGAAAAGCUUGGGCUGUAAAGUCCGUUUUGGGCUCCAAAAGUCCAUGACCUAUUUAAAUUAGAUGUAGGAUUUCAGGAAAUUGGGCUAAAUCUAUACGAGUCCUUGACCUUCCUUGAUGUUCUCUCAAAUGCAUUGUUUCAUUCAUUUCUGUAUAGACUACCAGUCUGUUUCAAUGCCAACCAUAUUUUUCUCUUUCUAAAGGAAGAAUGCAAUGCAAGCAAGCUUCUGGGGGUUCUGGGAGCACAGGGAAUGACUGAGUUCUGAGCCAUGGGAGAUUCCAGAGUGAAAAUUCCCAGAGCUCUGUUUCUGAAAGCGAGCACACGCUUCCGUCUCAAGACUAGAAGGUGCUGGGUCCCCACAGAAGCUCUAAGGUUGCUCCCUGCUGCCUUCAGCAGACACUGCAGGAAGCUGGGUCUGCCUGAGAGAGACCCGAGUUUGCACCAGAGACCCCCACCCUCCUCCCCACCCUCUUGUCUUCUCGUCCCUUCCCUGGGGGCCCCAGGCGCCCUUCCUACCCAGAGCUCUGCUAUCAGAAAGGAAAGCAUGCUGAUGGAAGGAAGCUCUGUACUAUGUUGGAAAGAAGCAUGCAUAGCUCUGAAAACCAAGCUUGCCCUGCAGGUUGGCAGAGCGUAGGGCAAAGGCUAGUUGUAUGGGUCCCACGGUCUAACCUCAGGCACAGCUGUUCGAAUCCCAGCUCUUACGUGUGGAUAGUGGUGCCGUUUAGAGCUAAUAUAGCCAAAAGACUAGUCAGAGUAGAAGCCUCAUCGGUGGGAGCCAUGAAAAUAAAUAUAGCCAUUUCAUGGGAGAGUUAGUGUAUUAUUUUUAUUAAGCCUAAGACAGUGUUUGAUUUCCAUUUGAACCACUGGGACUGUCCCUGUGACCAAAUACACUUUCCUUUCUUAGGUAAGGAUGAAAGUAGUUUCCAACGUAUCCAUCUCAAUGACAGUGGCCCUGGUCCCCUCGUGGGACACUGGAAUGGGUUUUAAUACCAUAUUUUGUUUUCUUUCUCCUGUGAACUGGCUAGAACAUCGUCUCUGAUCCUGGUUCUUGAAUAUUCUUCUUUUCUCCCCACCUCUUUUCCACUUUGUCAGUCUCCUCAGAGCUGGCUCACCUCCUCCCCCUCUCCCUCUGCCCAGAAUGGUCCCUGUCCCCCAACCCACGGUGAUACACCCGAGUUCUUGACACCUGGCUUUCCUCCAAAAUGGCAGCCAAACCCGACGCCAACCUCCAGAACUUUUUCAUCUUGCAAAACUGAAACACGAGCUGUCCAGUCACCCCUCCUUCCAGGACCUCACGAACACUAUUCUACUUUCUGUCUUUAUGAGUUUGACUAUCUUACGUGCCCGUGUAGCUGUCCUUUUGUGGCUGGCCUGUUUCACGUAGCAUAACGUCCUCAAGAUGCAUCCGUGUUGUGGCACGUGUCAGAGUCUCCUUCUUUUUCAAGGCCGAGUAACAUUCCGCCCGUUGUAUGUACGCAUUACCUUACCCCCUCUAGGGACUUCGUCUCUCUCCUAAAGAAGAAAAGGGAAUGGUCACGCACAUGCUCAGAUGGUUUCCCUUUGGUCAGCAGCGGUAAAAACCCUUCAUCAAAAACCUCAGGAAGUAAGAAGCCCCCAGUGAUAAAACCUGGAUCAUACUAAUGUGACGUGUCUAUUUGUCAAAUAAUUCAUUUGCAAUGAGCAGAAGGCUCUUGAAUAUAUCAUCUUGGGCUCAUGGCUGAAUUCUUUAUUGCUGUUGAACUUACCAGAUGUGUCAUGUUCUCGGUGAUACUUUAAGUCCCUUGGGGCUUAUGUACACAGUGUCCUUCACCUGAGACAAAGUGGCUGUCUUUGAAAAAAUACUUCAUUUUGCUCACUGCUAAGCAAGCCAAUGAUGGAACUGUCUUGAUGCCAAUAAGGACUGCACCAAAACACUCAUCACCAAAGAGAGAAAAACUUGCAUCAGAAUGAAGAAAUUCCAUAUCUCUCCUCUCUACGUGAAUGCAUUAGCAAGCUUUUAGCCAGAUGAAAUAAUACAGGGUAAGCUAUCUUGAUAACUUUUUCUUGUGUACAGCAAUGUCUACUGCUCACCUUCUGAGUGUCUGCAAUAAACAUGCUUUAAUAUGAACUUGA